UACGUAGGGGGCAAGCGUUGUCCGGAUUCAUUGGGCGUAAAGAGCGUGUAGGCGGCCAGGUAGGUCGGUUGUGAAAACUGGAGGCUCAACCUUCAGAGGUCGACCGAAACCAUCUGGCUAGAGUCCGGGAGAGGAGAGUGGAAUUCCUGGUGUAGCGGUGAAAUGCGCAGAUAUCAGGAAGAACACCCGUGGCGAAGGCGGCUCUCUGGGACGGUACUGACGCUGAGGAGCGAAAGCCAGGGGAGCAAACGGG
rnacentral:rRNA from 1 species